UUUAUCGUUUAAUUUUUUUUCCUCUUUCUUCAACUGUGACUGCAACCGUUCCAACUGCUUCAACGUUUCAUUUUUCUGGCAAAACCAAAAUGGCUUCUGUAAUGUUCGCACAAUCAGCAGCAAUAACAAGAGGCAGAGAUGAAGUAUAUGUAGUAGCUGUUCCUCUAAGGGCCACAAAAGGACCAGCCCAGUUGCUUAUGUCUGCUGCCUACUCUCUCAAUCUCUGGGAUUUACAGCAUUUUAUGGUUCUCAUCAAACCCUCCUCGCCACUUCCUUCUUCUCAGGCCGUGGUUUUUGACUUCCAACCUCAAGAUCCUGAAAAUAUAUAUGUGGCUCUUGAUGUUAUAUCCGGUAGAGCAGUACCAGGAGUUAUUCUUAUGAGAAAGUUGAAAAAUCUACCAACAAGGAAAUGCUGGUAUGUUGGAUCUUUGCCAGUGGAUGCGGUAGAUAUAGCAUGUAAUUUCAACAAAAGCUGGGAAACUGAUUUGAGGGUCGGUCAACAUGACUGUCGAGAUUAUACCAAUGGAUUGGUUGAGUACCUCACUGGCCAAAAAGAUGUCUUGGAGUGCUUGAGAAGCAGCACUGGUGGUCUGGGGUAACCAAUCAACUCGCGAGGCUAUUUUACAACAGAUAAUAUUCUAUCAUUUUCUUCAAGGGUGUAUACCGAUCAAAUGAUAUACCAUGUUCUUUCACAAGGAAUUUAUUUAACCGUACAAGGAGGAGGAUUAUGUUUCCCACCGAGGGUUGGAUUGACAUUAGUGCAUUGGAAAGUAGCAGGACCGUCUUUUCCUUGGUAUCGGAUGUCU